UAUGGGGCUUGCUCCAUAGUUAGUGGCGAACGGGUGAGUAAUAUAUCGGAACAUAUCCGGAAGUGGGGGAUAACGUAGCGAAAGUUACGCUAAUACCGCAUAUGCCCUGAGGGGGAAAGGGGGGGAUCGCAAGACCUCUCGCUUUCGGAGUGGCCGAUAUCGGAUUAGCUAGUAGGUGAGGUAAAGGCUCACCUAGGCGACGAUCCGUAGCUGGUCUGAGAGGACGACCAGCCACACUGGAACUGAGACACGGUCCAGACUCCUACGGGAGGCAGCAGUGGGGAAUUUUGGACAAUGGGCGAAAGCCUGAUCCAGCCAUACCGCGUGAGUGAAGAAGGCCUUCGGGUUGUAAAGCUCUUUCAGCCGGAAAGAAAUUGCUUCUAUUAAUACUAGGAGUAGAUGACGGUACCGGAAGAAGAAGCACCGGCUAACUACGUGCCAGCAGCCGCGGUAAUA
rnacentral:rRNA from 1 species